rnacentral:rRNA from 1 species
UACGAAGGGAGCUAGCGUUGUUCGGAAUCACUGGGCGUAAAGCGCACGUAGGCGGAUGUGCCAGUCAGGGGUGAAAUCCCGGAGCUCAACUCCGGAACUGCCUCUGAUACAGCACGUCUUGAGUCCGGAAGAGGUGGGUGGAAUUCCUAGUGUAGAGGUGAAAUUCGUAGAUAUUAGGAAGAACACCGGUGGCGAAGGCGGCCCACUGGUCCGGUACUGACGCUGAGGUGCGAAAGCGUGGGGAGCAAACAGG